CCUACGGGUGGCAGCAGUGAGGAAUAUUGGUCAAUGGACGAGAGUCUGAACCAGCCAAGUAGCGUGAAGGAUGACUGCCCUAUGGGUUGUAAACUUCUUUUAUAUGGGAAUAAAACGUUCCACGUGUGGGAUUUUGUAUGUACCAUAUGAAUAAGGAUCGGCUAACUCCGUGCCAGCAGCCGCGGUAAUACGGAGGAUCCGAGCGUUAUCCGGAUUUAUUGGGUUUAAAGGGAGCGUAGGUGGAUUGUUAAGUCAGUUGUGAAAGUUUGCGGCUCAACCGUAAAAUUGCAGUUGAAACUGGCAGUCUUGAGUACAGUAGAGGUGGGCGGAAUUCGUGGUGUAGCGGUGAAAUGCUUAGAUAUCACGAAGAACUCCGAUUGCGAAGACAGUUCACUGGACUGCAACUGACACUGAGGCUCGAAAGUGUGGGUAUCAAACAGGAUUAGAUACCCUAGUAGUC
rnacentral:rRNA from 1 species